rnacentral:tRNA from 1 species
GUUAAUGUAGCUUAAAACAAAGCAAAGCACUGAAAAUGCUUAGAUGGAUUUUUAAUCCCAUAAACA